AUUGAACGCUGGCGGCAGGCCUAACACAUGCAAGUCGAGCGGAGCGGCGGACGUGUGAGUAAUGUAUGGGGAUCUGCCCGAUAGAGGGGGAUAACUACUGGAAACGGGCGCUAAUACCGCAUACUAUCAGAUGAGCCUAGGUCGGAUUAGCUAGUUGGUGGGGUAAAGGCCUACCAAGGCGACGAUCCGUAACUGGGCUGAGAGGAUGAUCAGUCACACUGAAACUUACACACGGCCCAGACACGAACGUGAGGCAGCAGUUGGGAAUAUUGGACAAUGGACGAAAGCCUGUUCCAGCCAUGCCGCGGGUGUGAAGAAGGUCUUCGGAUUGUAAAGCACUUUAAGGUGGGAGGCGUUACGAAGAGAAUAAGCACCGGCUAACUACGUGCCAGCAGACGCGGUAAGUC
rnacentral:rRNA from 1 species